rnacentral:lncRNA from 1 species
ACGGGACACCUGCAUCUGCCAACAAGACUGGAAGCAGAAAGGGACAGAGACGGCGAAGUUUGACGGUCUGGAAAGCAGAGACCAGCAGGGCUGACUGCUUGGGAGCACGAGGGACAGCUCUCCACCGACCGAAGGAGGAGAAUGCUAUUUAUUUCAGCACCAAAUAUCCGGACAGCGCCUCUCGGGAGGUCCGAGAAGAGAACCGCGAUCUGUUUCAGCACCGGGGCUCAGGACAGUUCCCAGCGGGCUCCGUUUCGUCUCCAGAACCCUGGACAGCUCCUCCAGCUUGGAAUGCACUCCCUCCACCUCCAACCAGAGCUCCCCACAACUGACCCUGCCUUCUUCUGCAAGCUCCAUUUCAUCAAGGGAAACGAUCCUUAUUGCCUCACCAUUUCCCACGUGAAGUCUGUAUUGACAUUCUCAUAGACCUGGGAUAUUGUGUCUGCAGCACAUAGUCCAAUUAUUUUCAUGUUAUCUACUGACAGGUCUAUUUGUCUCCCUGUUACACUGUGAGCUCCGUGAGGGCAGAAACAAUGUUAGUAUUUUCACUGCUGUGUCCCCAGCGCCUGGUCCGGGGCCCGGCACACAGCAGGCAUAUAAUAAGCAUGUGUUGAAUCAAUAAAGGCAUCAAAGAAUAAACCAAUACAUCAAUCAAUAAAUGAAUGAAUGGCCUCAGCA